GCUCAACCGGGGAGGGUCAUUGGAAACUGGGAAACUUGAGUGCAGAAGAGGAGAGUGGAAUUCCACGUGUAGCGGUGAAAUGCGUAGAGAUGUGGAGGAACACCAGUGGCGAAGGCGACACUCUGGUCUGUAACUGACGCUGAGGAGCGAAAGCGUGGGGAGCGAACAGGAUUAGAUACCCUGGUAGUCCACGCCGUAAACGAUGAGUGCUAAGUGUUAGGGGGUUUCCGCCCCUUAGUGCUGCAGCUAACGCAUUAAGCACUCCGCCUGGGGAGUACGGUCGCAAGACUGAAACUCAAAGGAAUUGACGGGGGCCCGCACAAGCGGUGGAGCAUGUGGUUUAAUUCGAAGCAACGCGAAGAACCUUACCAGGUCUUGACAUCCUCUGACAACCCUAGAGAUAUGGCUUUCCCUUCGGGGACAGAGUGACAGGUGGUGCAUGGUUGUCGUCAGCUCGUGUCGUGAGAUGUUGGGUUAAGUCCCGCAACGAGCGCAACCCUUGAUCUUAGUUGCCAGCAUUCAGUUGGGCACUCUAAGGUGACUGCCGGUGACAAACCGGAGGAAGGUGGGGAUGACGUCAAAUCAUCAUGCCCCUUAUGACCUGUGCUACACACGUGCUACAAUGGACAGAACAAAAG
rnacentral:rRNA from 1 species